GCAGGGAUCAAUGACCUGGAUGAUAAUGUGGUAACAGGAUUAGCGAAUCUGUGGAUGACACCAAGAUUGAGGGUAUAGUUGACAGCAAGUGCCAAAAAAGCCAAAUUAAAUCCACUGUGCAACACCCACAAAAUGCUGGAGGAACUCAGCAGGCUAGGCAGCAUCUAUGGAAAAAAGUACAGUCGACGUUUCGGGCCAAAAUCCUUCGGCAGGACUGUGAUUCAAUUUUGCUUGCUGCCAGUGCUACGUGACAGAAAUGAACACAUUCAAAGUUGGCACACUGCAGGACUAAGAACUGAAGACCUGGACCAUUCGCCUACAGACACCAGUUCAACUUCCUGCUGGGGACAGCUGGGGUAUUUUAAUUCAAAUAAAUAAAUAGAUCUGGAAUGGUAAAUAAACAGCCUGGAGGACAAUGUACUGUACAUUAUGUUGACUGAUAUUCUUCAGCAAAAAGCAUGUGGUGUCCUUACCCAGUCUGAUCCAUGAAUAACUCAGUCCAACUGCCUUCUGAAUUGGCCCAACAAGCUGCUGAAGUUCGGGGCAGUUCAGGGAGGCCAAUAAGUGCUUGAUCAGCCAAUAAUACCAUAUGGCAUGAAUGAAUAAAAAAGGAUCACACAGACCAUUGUUUAUUUCUUCAACUUGACAAUAAUUAAUAUCUCAUUCCUCUUCUGAGAAGUAAUUUGAUAGACUCUCUAAAUACAUAUUAUUGUAGGUGUUUCUAUACUAAUUUGUGCCUUGAAAAAGUGUAUCUGGAGCAGCACAUACAAAAUGCUGGAGGAACUCAGCAGGUUAGGCAGCAUCUAUAUAAAGGAAUAAACAGAGGAUGUUUUGGGCUGAGACCCUUCAUCAGGAUUGGAAGAGAAGGACAAGGGAUCCAGAAAGAGAAGGUGGGGGGGAGGGGUAAGAACACAAGCCAUGUGGGUGGUGGAAGGGGAAUGAAGUGAGAAACUAGGAGGUAUUAGGUGGAAAAGGUCAAGGGCUCAAGAAGGAGGAAUCUGAUGGGACAGGAGAGUGGACCAUGUAAGAAAGGGAAGGAGGGGCAUCAUGUGGAGGUAAUAGACAAUUAAGGAGAAAAGACGAGGUUAAGAGGGGAGCCAGAGUGGGGAACAGAAGAAGAGGGAAAAAGGAAAAAGAAAAAAUUACCAGAAGGAGAAAUCGAUGUUUAUGCCAUCAGUUUGGAGACUACCCAGAUGGAAUAUCAGGUGUUGCUCCUUCAACCUGAGAGUGGCCUCAAUAAGGGCUGUAGAGUAGGCCACAAACCAACAUGUCCGAUCGGAGGCCUUCAGAAGGCCUUUGACAAGGUGCCACACAAGGCUGCUUAAGAAGCGAUGAGCUCUUAGUAUUACAGGAAAGAUCCUAGCAUGAAAAGAGCAGUGGCUGACAAGCAGGAGGCAAAAAGUGGGAAUAAAGGGAGCCUUUUCUGGUUGGCUGCCAGUGACUAGUGAUUCUUUUUACAUUAUAUGUUAAUUAUUUGGAUGAUGGAAUUGAUGGCUUUGUUGCAAAAUUUGUGGAUGACACAAAGAUAGGUGGAGGAGCAGGUAGUCUUGAGGAAGGAGAGAGGCUGCAGAACAGCUUAGACAGAUUAGGGGAAUGGGCAAAGAAAUGGCAGAUGGAAUAGUGUCGGUAAGUGUAUGAUCAUGCACUUUGGCAGAUGAAAUGAAAGGGAUGACUAUUUUCUAAAUAGAGAGAAAAUACAAAUAACUGAGGUCCAAAGGGACUUAGGAGUCCUUGUGCAGGAUUCCCUAAAGGUUAAUUUGCAGGUUGAUCUGUGGUGAGGAAGGCAAGUGCAAUGUUAGCAUACAUUUCAAAAAAAAGGAUUAGAAUAUAAAAGCAAGGAUGUAAUGUUGAGAUUUUAUAAAGCACUGGUGAGGUCUCACUUGGAAUAUUGUGAGCAGUUUUGAGCCCCUUACUUUAGAAUGUGCUGAAACUGGAGAGGGUUCAAAGGAGGUUCAUGAAAACAAUUCCAGGUUUGAACGGUUAGUCAUAUGAAGAGCAUUUGACGGCUCUGGGACUGUAUUCACCGGAACAGAAGAAUGAGGGGUGACCUCAUUGAAACCUAUUGAAUGGUGAAAGGCCUCAAUAGAGUGGACAUGGAGAGGAGGUUUCCUACGAUGGGUGUGGCUAAGACCAUAGGACACAGCCUCAGAAUAGAGGGGCGAACAGGGAUGAGGACAAAUUUCUUUAGCCAGAGAGUGGUGAAUCUGUGGAAUUUGUUGCCAUAGAUAGCUGUGAAGGCCAAGAUUUUAUGUAUAUUUAAGGUAGAGGUUGAUAGGUUCUUGAUUGGUUAGGGCAUGAAGUGAUACAGGGAGAAGGCAGGAGAUUGGGGCUGAGAGGAAAAUUGGAUCAGCCAUGAUGAAGUGGCAGAACAGACUCAAUGGGCCAAAUGGCCUAAUUCAGCUCCUAUGUCUUAUGGUCUUAUAGUCUUAUGGGAGUGAGAUUGGAAUUAAAAUCAUUGGUCACCAGGAAAUUCUACUUGUUGCAGAUGGAGCACAAGUGCUUGACAAAGCAGUUACACAAACAUAGAAGAAAAACGUGCAUUGGGACCACCGGAUACAUUUGACGACCUCAACAGAUUUGCAAUUGAAGUGUUGCCUCACUUGGAAAGACUCUUUGGGGCCACGAAUAGAGGCAAGGGAGGGGGUGAAUUGACAGGUUUAGCAUUUCUUCUGCUUGCAGGGAAAGUGUCACAAGGGAGAUUAGCGUGGAAGAACAAAUAUAGAGUUAUGGAGAGAGCAAUCCCUGCAGAAAGCAGAGAGGGUGGGGGGGAAGGAGUGAUAAAACUGUGUUGGUGGUAGGAUUCCACUGAAGAUGCCGCAAGUUGUGGAGAAUGACGUGCUGGAUGUGGAGGCUCAUGGCAAAGAACACUAUCCCUGUUAGGGUAGUAGGAAGAUGGAAGAUGGGGUGAGUACAGAUGUCCGUGAGAUAGAGGAGAUGCAGGUGAGGGCAGCAUCAAUGGGUGGAGGAAGGGAAACCCCGUUAUUUGAAGAACAUCUCAUGUUCUGGAAAGGAAAGCUUCAUCCUGGGAACAGAUGUGGCAGAGACGAAGGAACUGAGAAAAUGAAAUGGCAUUCUUACAGGUGACAAGGUGAGAAGUAUAGUCAAGAUGGCUGUGAAAGUCAAUAGGUUUAUAAAAGACAUCGUUAGACAGCUUUGCCUUCCCACUUAAAAUUGUGCAGCUAAUUAGACUGCAAGGAUGCCAGGGAAUGUAAUCGUCUUUUUCAUUGUGUGAACUAAGGAAUUAAAUGUCUCUGGUUGAAUAACUGACACAUUUUCAGUUCACUUGGACCUUCAACAAGAAUACAAUCUGUUGCAAAAAAUAAACAUUUGUUUAAUCAAAUGUAUCCCAGAUAAGAUGCAGUGAGGAUUAUUUGAUGGGCUUUUGAAAACUGUACCUAUUUUCUCCUGAUUCCAGACCAUACUGAAGUGAAAUUCCAAGAAAUGAAUUGCCCAAUUAAUCUUGUCAAGGAACAACUAUUCACCACAGAGUGAUGGUUGAUAAAGUUAUCCAAUAACUAAUGUUAUAGUCUUAACUUCCUUGGUGCCUUAUGAAUAUAUUUAACAGACCCUGCAGCAGUUUGUAAGCCUUCACUGAGAAGGUUAGAAACUUGAGGACAAAAGCUUAUGACUUACCUCAGACAGAAAGCAAGCAAGGUAGUUCAAUACUGUACAGCAAAAACUUGCAUUGUAUUAGAAGUUAUUACAAAACUUCUAAUAACUGUAGCAUAAACCAGGGCAAGAUGAUAAGAUGGUUAAGGAAAUAUGUGGGAUGUGGCUUUCUAUGUAAUAAUGGGACAUUGUUUAGAGAGAAGUCACAAGAAACAUAUUUAAGAAACCUCAGUUGGUAAAUGAUAUACAAGUACACACAUUUCAGGAGGGAGGUCAAGACCUAGGAAACUGUCUUAAAAAGCUUCAACUAUAAAGAAUAACAAAAUUCAGUAAUGUGGAGAGCCUGGGGAAGUUGGAUUUGCCCUCGUCAGAGCAGGAACUUAAUAGGGAUGAUCUUGAAGGGUCUCGUUCUGAAACCUUGACCAUCCAUUUCCCUCCACAGAUGCUGCCUGACCCAUAAAGUUCUGGGUUGGUUGCUGGGUUAAGGAUGUCACUGUUGGCAAUAUUUUCACAUGGAAAGCUAUUAGGGUCCAGAAUGUGUCAUACGGAAAGGCAAUUGGAGAUGUACUUGCGAGGACUAAUUUACGGCAUUACACAGAGGAAGUUCUCUGUUUGGACUUAUUUUAGCUUUCUGCUUCCUGCUCAAUUCCGACACUUGAAUAAGCAAGAGAGAUUUAAAAGAUACUGGCAAUACAAAUAUAAAUUUUGUAAAAAUAA